ACAAGACUGACAGUUUGUGGGGGAAGGGCCCAACUAGGAGUGGCAGUUGGGUCUUGUGACUAGCACUUCCUUCCUGCCAGGAGUGGCAGUGGGGUCUUGUGACUAGUCCUUCCUUCCUGCCAGGUGGGACUUGCUUCCGGGUGUUGGAGGAGAGAGGAGCGUGGUCAGCCCAGUCUGGAGUGGCAUGCUCUUCUUGGUUCAGCCGGAAGACACAGGCCUCUGAAGGUUGAUAUAUGGUGUCAAGAAUGGGAUUUGAAGGCCCCUGCCCAACUGGCCGCCAUUUUCAACCUCUGGUGCCUGGUUACCAGCACAGGGCCCUCUAUAUCCAGUCCAGAUUCAAUUUAGCAGCCCAGCUUGGGAAUCUUGUUAAGAUGUCUCCAUCUGUCAAAAUCAGAGUCCUAAGAUCCAAAAACCCUGAUGGCCAUGAAAGUUCAAUAGUUUGAUUUAAAUUGAGGACUAAAAGUUGCAAAGAGGAGAGAUUCCCAUCAUACCACACUGCCUUAAGAGUUUGGAAGUCUUAAAGCUUAGCCUAUUACAGAUGAAGUUAAAUCUGGAGAUCCUGCCCACUCAUCAUAGCUUUACCCAUAUCAUACCUACUUCAAGUUUGACCUGACUCUUUACAACCUGUGUUUCUUCAUGCCAUUGGGCACAGUUAUAAGCUUGUGUCCGCAUUGUGAUUGAUACAGUAGAAGGCUUCAUUAUACUCAAUCAUGUGAACUGCAAAAUUCAGGCGUGGAAGAACUAUGGAGAAAUUCACAAAUCAACUUUCUAUUAAAGGAAAUUUUGCUUACAUUUAUUUAGCUCUACUAAAGUCAUUGUGUUAACUUAAAAGUAAAGCCUUCUCCUUAGAGUGUUUGCAUUCUUGAAUAAAUCUGGAAAGGAGGAGAACUAACUACUAGAUUAGGAAAACUUUCCAGUUCUAGUUUGCUAAACUUUUAUUCAUUAUUUGUUUUAUCUGAUAAUUUAAAAUUGUAGUCCAAGAAAGCCCAAGUUGAACGGUUCAAGGAAGAAUCAAAACCUGGGAAUCUGAGCUUACUUUGUCAAGGAUAUCAAGGCAUAUUGAAAACCUACUGGGUUUGGAGACUGGAGGGGCAGCAUAGAGAAUACCUAGGGUUACGGCUCUCUGAGAUACUCCCUUUGAGUGAGACCCUGGAGAAAUACCUGGCCUCUUAGUGUAAAUAGAAAAAAAAAUUAAUCUGCAAACUGGAGUUUCCUUUAAUAGGCCUGGGAAAUUUUGUGUUCCGUUUAGCCUUGGUUCUGUUUGUUAAUUUUUGUUUCUUUUUCUCAAAAACUCUGUUAAGUAGUUUCUUAACCUAGUCAGAUGAACACACAUCUAAAUUUCAGAGAGAAAAAUUUGGAUAGAACAAUAAGGAAUUUUUCUGCCAGUUUGUAUUUAGGAGAGGGAGUUUGGGGUCUCCUACCCUUUAAUACACUUGAAAGACUAACACAUAGUUGCACUCUUUUAUGUUUCAUCUUUUCAUUAUGGUGAUAGUGGCUGUUGUUGUAGUUCUUGGGAACUUCAUUGUUUUUCCCAGCAUUCAGUCUGUGGAUAACAAGGCAAAAUGCACAGCUAUGCAGGAAACUGAAGCAGCCUACAAUUCGAUGCACUCUAUUCUGGCUGGAAGUUUGCCUUUUAAAACACAUCAUAUAGAUAUGUGUUUGCAUCAUUUGGCUUCUGCAGUAGGGACUGCAAGAGUUGCUUUUUAAAUUGGUCCAACUCUACACGCCAAAGAAGAACCAAAUGAUGAAGUACUCAAUGCCACCAUUAAUACUCAAUCUCUCUUUGUGCUGAUCAGGAAUCAUGGUGGAGCCAUCACACAUGACCCAGCCAGUGGAGCUGAGGAACUGGAUUAAGUCAAAGACUCUGGGGAAGAUUGAAUUUGUUGGAAAAAUGCAAUCUCUAGUCAGAGUCAAACUGAACUUAGGAUAGACUUGAACCAGUCAUCCACACUGAUGGACUGAGAGAGGGAAGAACAAGGUUUAUCAGAUAUAUGCAAAGAGAUCUGCAGAGGAAGGCAGCAAACAAAAGUUCAUGGUGCAUGAAUUUUACCCGCAGUCUAAUGCUGCUGAGGAUAAUAAGUACUCUGGAGGUUUACAGGAGCGUUGAUAUUUUGGAGGGUAUUUUACAUACACUGCCUUUUUCUUUUUUGCCUAGCUUUUCCCACUGGUAUUCAUUGUGUUGAGUGUCAGCAGAUUUCUAACAAUGAUCUGGAAUUUUAUUGUUUGAGCUAUUCCCAACCAGGGGAGAAUACGGAAUCUGUUUAGGAUUCAAAAUAUUUUUGCAAGCAUAUUUUGAAUUUUACAGAUAAUUUUAUUAGCAAAAACCAAGCGAAUAAUAUCCUUUCCGUUACAUGCCAUUGAAUUAUUACCUAUACUACUAACAUUGAACUAUUACUGUCAUGAAAGAUGGCGCAAUAGUCAAAAACAAAGUUUACCUUUGUCUUUUUUGAAAGCUUCACAGGCAUUCUGAGUUUUUAUGCUCCAAGUAUUCAAAUAGUAUGAUGGCUCUGUAUAUUUAUUUGAUACUCUUUCACUGAUCUGUGUUUGAGCAAGUAAUAUCUUUUAUUAAAAGCAAAUUCUUUCAGACACUUCCUAGCUCUGUGACCCUGGACAAGUCGUUUAACUCCAAUUGCCUAGCCCUUGUUGCUCUUCUGUCUUAGACUUCGAUACUAAGAUAGAAAGUAAGGUUUGUUUCUUUUUAAAAAGCAAAUUCCUGAAGUUAAUAAGCUCAGAAAAAUAUUACAAAUCAAAUAUCUUAGAAUCUUACAAUGGCCAAAAGUUGUAUGUGUAGGAAAAGUAUUUCAUUUCCUAAUAGGAUGGAUGUUUGACUAGGAUUAAUUUCACUAUUAUCUGGUGUGUUUUAAGGCAUGUUUAUACUAUUUUAAUCUUUUUCCUUCCAUUAAUAUUAUUUUAUUUCAUUGUCAGGCUUACAAACUUUGGUGACCUUUGCUCUGUUUUUAGCUUUUUUAUUUUUACAGCUAAAUAUCUAUCCAUUUUUUAAAUGUUGUCUGAACUAUGUCACUAUGAUGGUAUUUUUAGACAAACUUCAUUUUCAUACCCAAGUGUGACUUAAGUCAGCAACAUCCUUUAAUGAGCACCUUCUAUCUUUAUUACUUUUUUUCUCUCUUCUUCUCUCUGAAGGUAAUUAAGUGCACAUUUCAAUCCAGAAAUACUUAUAAGCAUCCCGACUAGUAUGUAUAUGUGCUCAAGAAAUUGCUAAAAGCUUAUUGUACAUUUAAUUAAAUCAAGAUGGCUAAUGAGAUUCAUUUUCACCAUUGCUCCAUGUGUCAAUACCAAAUUAGUUAAAGGUUACCUCCUAGUAGUUGUUCUAAGAGACAUUGCCAAAGUGAUUGAGAUAGAAAUGCCGCAUGCUCAACUAAUUUUAUAUUUAGCAAAGAGUUAAGCAACAUUCAGAAUCUUUCUGCACUUUAUGCUGAGCAGAAAAAGAUCAUGAACUUUUAUCAAAACUUAUUUAAAUCAAUCCCUCGACAGUGGCUUGGCAAUUAAAUUAUGCAUCCAAAGCUCCUAAAUCAUUCCUUUCCUGUACCUUUAAUAGGAUUGGAGGCUGCCACGAUCUAAUAUAAUGUAAUAAUAAAACAUUUUAAUCUGUUUCAAAAUUUUGAUUCAAAAUAGUGGUGAUACACAACUGACAACAUGGGCCAGUAACUUCUUCACUGAGUGCCUUUCAAUGAAUGAAAAUCAAACACAUGUAAGCUACUGUGUAGAUAGACUGUGGGGUUCAGUUUUUAAAACCUAAAAAAGCCUUCCAUUAUUCUGCUUUUCCUUUUUUGAGAAUUGGGUUGCAGAUUUAACACCCUGAGAAAUUAAAUGUGCAUUUCUCUACUUCUCAUUGUCACAUAGACGGCACAUGAUGCAUUUUAAAGUUUAUAUAACAAUUAUAGUGCUGCUAAAUCAUUCCAUGUUGGUCACAUAUUUUCCUUUUUAUAUAUUUUCCCCCUAUUACAAGUAAAAACAAUUCAACAUUCUUUUUUUAAGUUCUGAGUCCCAAAUUCUCUCCCAUUUUCUGACCUCUGUCUCUUCCUUCCUCCCCUACACCACCCUCCCAGGACAGUUUGAUAUAUAUUUUACAUGUGUAAUCAUGUAGGAUAUCUUUCCAUAUUAGUCAUUUUGUGAAAGUAAAUAUCAAAUGAAAAAGAACAAGGAGAAAGAAAAUGAAAUAUAGUAUGUUUCAGUCUGCAUUCAGACUCAUUUCUUUCUCAGAGGUCAGAGGGCAUUUUUCAUCAUGAGUCUCUACUAAUGUCUUAGGUCACUGCAUUGCUGUAAAUAACUAGGUCAUUCACGGUUGUUCAUUAAGAAAUAUUGUUGCCACUGUGUACAGUGUUCUUCUGCUUCUGCUCUUUUUGCAUCAGUUCAUGUAGGUUUUUCCAGAUUUUUUUGAAAUCAUGCUGCUUGUCAUUUCUUAUAGCACAAAAGUAUUCUAUCACUAUCAUAUCCCACAGCUUGUUCAGUCAUUUCUCAAUUGAUGAGCAACCCCUUGAUUCCAAUUUGUUGCUAAGUCAAAAAGACCUGUAACAAAUAUUUUUGCAUAAAUAUGUCUUUUUCCCUUUAAAAAAAAACUUUUUGGAAUACAGAUCUAGUAUAGCAUUAAGUGAUCAAAGGAUAUGCACAGCUUUAAAGUCCUCUGAGUAUAGCACCAAAUUGCUCUCCAGAAUGGUUGGAUCAGAUUGCAACUUCUCCAAUAGUGUUUUAGUAUCCCAAUUUUUCUGCAUCCCCCCUAAUAUUUUUGGUCAUAUAUUUUCAGAGAAAUGCAAAGUGCCAGCGUCAAAAAGAUUAUACCAGACUGUGUAAAAAUAAUAUUGAACUAUAAUAUUGAAUCAUGAAAUGGUUUCCCCUUUUGGUCCCCCAAAACUUUUUAAUUUAAAACUACAAAUUAUCUCUUCUUUCCUUCUUUUGUCAAGAUCUUUUGUCUUUGUUAUGGGUAAUAGGGUAAAGGGUAUAUAUCACUGGGCUGGCUUUUGUUAUAAGCAAAGUGGAGACCUGCUCCUUAUUUAACUGUAAAUCUGUAAAAAAAAAUUAUAUCUUAGGUAAUGAAGUCAGUCAGCUCUUGCCAGAUGGUCCAGCCACAUAGUGAGAAAGGUAUUUUGAUAUCCUCCUGAGACCAGCCUUUUUCUCCGAUGAAGUUAUGAGGGAGGAGAUGAAGUCACUGAAACAACUUCCAUGUCUGUUUUCCAAUCAGAGAUGUCCAAGGGUGGGACUGCAUGAUGACAUCAGAAGAAAUAUAUAUUGGCUUGUGAGACAGAUAGUCACUCUUUUCUCUUUUCUUGCUGGGCUUAGCUGCUUGGUUCUUCAUGAUUAUCUCCCCCUCUCUUGGUUCUGCUUUCUGCCCCUGCUUGAGAUCUAUGAUAUCUGUUCAGACUGUGGAGGAAGUUCACUAACUAGCUAGCUAGAAAUCUUGAGUGGUCUUUUAAUAAAUUAAUGUUAAAAUUAAAAAUAGAGCUUCCAGAGAAUUUCACUCAUUAUAUAGACAGAGUCCAUUCAUUCUUCCCAAGACAUUAUGAUCAUGCACAGUAGAUUCUUUUAAUUUCUUAAAACACUGAUCUCCCAGAUAUCACCUGAAUGUUUUCAGAGCUAAAGACAGAGCCCUUUCCUUAUUCAUUCUGAACUGUUAGAUGACCCCUUUUGGAAAGUUUUACUUUUUACUCUUUGAGAUUGUCCCUGGGUGCCCAAUGCCCUUCCCUUCACCCCAUUGCAACUCCAUCACCACCUUCUGUCCUACUGCAGGGGACUCACUCAAAGCCUUGGAGACCUUAACCAUCUUGUUUCUCAAUUUUCUAAGGACCCAGUCACAGACCAAUUUACCUUGUAGCUGGAACUUGGAGACUGCAUCUAUUGAAGAAGACACCUGCACAAGAAUGGCCUGCAGUCCAUAUGGAAGGGACCCCAUGAAAGUCUUCCUGACUAACCACUCUGCUGGAAAGCUAAAAAGAAUUAACACCUGGAAAUAUCUGUCGCCUCUAAAGAAGGACCCAGUCUCUGAUGGAGAGCCCAGCCCACUACUAGUGAUUUCAAGGUCUAUCUGACCCAGAAAAAGAAGCAGAUGACAGCAAUAGUAAACCACUUCCCCAAGAUGCCAGAUAUGGGUUGAGUGAUAGAGUUUAACAGGCCACAGAAUUCCUUGACAUACCUCCUUUGGUCAGUGAUGACAGAACUCUUUAUCAAAAGGGGGAAAAUGUUAAAUGAAGUUGUCAGAAGGGGCUGCCUUGACCUCAAUGACCUCAAGGUGGGAGUACAUCUUUUGAUAUCUCUGGCAACUUACCACUGCCAGAGCCUUUGAUCCGAUCAGACAUUAACCACUUCUCCCCCUCUGAUAAGAUAUUAGUCACUCCUCACAGUUGCUGCUCCCUCCUAAUCACUCUUCCCUUUUGGAGGUGUAUUUAAAUCCUGCUUCUUAUGCUUCUUCGCAGUGGGUCCAAAAUGUAAACCCAAAUGUAAACCCAAAGGUCCUGCAUCCUUGAGUUGUAAACCCAAACUGUCAUUCCUCUGCCAGAUAACAGUGGUAUGGGAUGAUCAACUUUCCCAUUUUCCCCUCUUUUUAUGGCUGAGAUAAGUCAGAAGCAGUUUGCUUUCUCAUGGAAAGGAAACCAAUAGAGUUUCACUGUCCUUCACCAGGAUUAACUGAACUCUCCUUAAACUGCCACAUUAGAGUGGACAAACACCUGAAAGAAACUUGUUUACCCAAGGCAUUGAUAUACACCACUAUAUUGAUGGCAUAAUAUUGCCUAGGCCAGAUUAGGCUACAGUGGCAGAUGCCCCAGGUCAGAUCAUGGCCCAUACAAGGGACCAUUGGUAGGUCAUGAAUCUUAAGAAAAUCCAGCCUUUAGCCUUCUCUGUCAAGUUUUGUGGAAAAUGCAGAGGAUUUCAUAUUUAGUCCAAAAUAAUUUAUAGACACUUGCUUCCACAUGAUAGGAGAAGGAAGACUUAUUGGACUCUAGGUUAUGGAGAAGUCACAAUUCCCACCUGGAUAUCUUAAUGACCCCCAUUUAUCAAGACAACAACAAGUCUGCCUCUUUCAAGUGGGACCUAGAAAAGACUAUAGCCUUGGAUAAUCCAAAGCAAAUUCUCCAGCAGUUUUCCCCUUUGGUCAUUUUGACUGGGCAAAGGCUAUGUCUCUAGAGGUUUCUGCCAUUGAAACUAUGCUGAGUAGAAUCUAAGGAGGCAGCCAGAGGUAGCAAGAGUAAAGCAACUAUUAGGCAAGUCUCUCAAAGUGGACAGUUGACUAUGGCACAUUUCAAAAACAGUUUCUUUGCUGUUACUAGUCCUGUUGUUUCUAAAGAGAUCACACAGAGAGUAUGUAAUUGCCGUUUGUCCAGAGCUGCCUAUUAUGGGUUAAUUGAUGCAAACUGGUCCUUCUAAAAAGAUAGGUAGACCCAAAGAGAUCAUAAGGAAAAAUACUUGUACCAAAGUACAAGUAGCUGCUCUCUUUGUGGUGGCAAAAAACUGGAAAACGAGGGGAUGCCCUUCAAUUGGGGAAUGGCUGAACAAAUUGUGGUAUCUGUUGGUGAUGGAAUACUAUUGUGCUCAAAGGAAUAAUAAAGUGGAGGAAUUCCAUGUGAACUGGAACAACCUCCAGGAAUUGAUGCAGAAUGAGAGGAGCAGAACCAGGAGAACAUUGUACACAGAGAUUGAUACACUGUGGUACAAUCGAAUGUAAUGGACUUCUCCAUUAGUGUCAAUGCAGUGACCCUGAACAACUCAGAGGGAUCUAUGAGAAAGAUGCUAUCCACAUCCUGAGAAAGAACUGUGGGAGCAGAAACACAGAAGAAAAACAACUGCUUGAUCACAUGGAUGGAUGUGGAUAUUAUUGGGGAUAUAGACUCUAAACCAGGGGUCCCCAAACUUUUUACAUGGGGCCAGUUCACUGUCCCUCAGACCAUUGGAGGGCCCGACUACAAAAAAAAUUAUGAACAAAUCUGUAUACGGCUGUCUGGGAUAGCGGAGGCUGUAGCACUGGCUGGGACGGGCCCAUCACACCUUGCACAGCCCCAUCACUGCCACCACUAUACAGGGCAGCAGUAUGCACAGUACAGAAUCCCCUCUCCCAGAUCGCCGCUCACCAUGCUGACAUCUUCCAUUGUGCAGCCACAUAAUGCUUUGCAAGGCGCCUCCUUCUCAGAACAAGGCACUGCACAAAGGAUUAAUUAUGUCACCGGAAGUAGUACUGUAUGUGAGUGCCGCUGCCACAACUCACUCUCUCACUGACCACCAACGAAAGAGGUGCCCCUUCUGGAAGUGCAGUGGGAGCCAGAUAAAUGGCCUCGGGGGGCCGCAUGUGACCUGCGGGCCAUAGUUUGGGGACCCCUGUUCUAAAUGAUCACCCUAGUGCAAAUAUCAAUAAUAUGGAAAUAGGUCUUGAUCAAUGACACAUGUAAAACCCAGUGGAAUUGCACAUUAGUUAUGGGAGGGGAUCUAGGGGAGGAGAGGGAAACAUGAAUCUUGUAACCAUGGGAAAAUAUUCUAAAUUAAAAAAAAAAAUAAAUAAAAAGAUAGGUAGAACACAGAAAUCUUCUACUGCUAAAUGGAAAUGGUACAUUAGUAAUAGCAAUAAUAGCUAACUUUAUAUGGCACUUAUUAUGUGCGAGGCAUUGUGAUGAACUUUAUAAUAAUUAUCUCAUUAAAAAAUCAUGAUUGCAGACUUCCAGGAUUCAUAAUCAAUGAUGUGGAGAAUAUUAACAAAAGCCAAACACUGACCCUGAGCUCAUUCAGCACUCCUCUUCUUCCUAGGCUACCAGCAGUAAAGCUAUACUAGAAAACCCAAAGAUAUGAUACAGACUUACAACAAAACAUCCACAUUCCAGUCACCCUUCCCUCUUUCUAGUGCCUUAGAAAUCCCAGCUUCGGACUAUGGAAAUUUGUCCUGGGAAUAAAGACUUGCUUGGAGUCACAGCUCUAUAGCAUCAAUGCUGCAAAGCUCUAAACUACUCAAAGCUUCUGCACAGACAAAACGAAUGUAUCUAAUAUAAGAAGGAAGUGAUCAAAUGAUAAAAAGUCUAUUUCAAAUUUCUCUGAAAAGAUAUGUAAUAUAUAUUAAUGACAUGUGUGUAUAUGUCAAUAAAAUUAAUGCUAUUCAUUUUUAACCACAAGCAGUCCUCAUGUAUUCAUGAUGCUGGAGAUAAAUAAAGCCUCAAUGUGAAUGGACAGGAUGGACACCUGAUGUCAACAAGAACCUCUUGACAAAAGAGAGGAUCUACAACUUCAAACAUCUGUUGGUUCAGUGAUCAUUAAAGAGAACUCAGCCUUGUUCUUUGUUAGCUUGAUUUUGACAUACACAUCAUUUAGCAAUAAUUUUUCUUGGAAAAAAAAAAGGCUUAGAAGUUCCAAUUUUCUGCUCACCAACAUCAUUCUCCUCAGUCACAAAACAUCCAUUAGCUCCCUCUGUGUUAUACUCCAUGGGGCCCUGAUAUGUCUUUCUUUUAAAAAAGAAAAAAGAAAAUAGUCACUAUUGUGUUGCCAAAAUAAAUGAUCAACCACUCAAUGAAGGUUCCACAAGUUAGCAGUUGUUUCUAUGAGUCAUUAACCAGUUAAUCAUAAUUUCCUUAUGUUUCCUCUGCCUUUCCCCUUCUCCCAGUGCAUCAGUCUUUCUCACCCCUGUGUUUUUCUUUAGAUCACUUCAACAUAGUUGACUCAUAAUGUGUCUUCUGUCUAUAUAAACUACUUCUAACUUGCACUAAUAAUGAUAAAAGUUCUUAGGAGUUGCAUCUUGCCAUAUGGGAAUAUAAAUGAGACUUAAGUCUCAUGAUUUCUUUCAUUUCUCUUUUUAUGCUUCUCUUUAGUCUUUUGAUCAAGAAUGCUUGAAAAUCCUCUAUUUUGUUAAAUAUCCAUCCUCUCCCCUCCACACACAAAAGAUUAUACUUCGUUUUGCUGGUUAAAUUAUUCUUGGUUGUAAUCCUAACUUCUUUGUCAUUCAGAAUAUCAUAUUCUAAGUCUUCCCACUCCUUUAACAUGGUAGCCACUGAGUCCUGAUUGUGAUCCUGACUGUGGCUCCAUAGUAUUUGAAUGGUCUCUUCCUGGCUGUUUGCAGUUUUCUCUCCUUGAUCUGUGAGCUCUGAAAUAUGACUAUAAUAUUUCUGGGAGGUUUUCCUUUGGAAUCUAUAUCAGGAGGUGAUCAGAGGAUUCUUUCCAUUUCUAUUUUAACUCCUGGUUUUAAGGUAUCAGGGCAGUUUCAUCUAUACUUUCUUGAAAUGUCUAUACUCUUUUUGGAUCAUGGCUUUUAGGCUGUCCAAUAAUUCUAAAAUUAUCUAUCCUUGAUCUUUUUGCCAAGUCAUUUCCCCAAUAAGAUAGUUCACAUUUUUCCCUAUUUUUUUAUUCUUCUGACUGUUUUAUUGUUUCUUGACUUCUUAUGGAGUCAUUAGUUUCCACUUGCCCAAUUCUAAUUUUUUCAGGAUUUUUUUUCAGUGAGUUUUUCUACUUCCUUUCUCACUUGGUCAAUUUUGCUUUUAAGGAAUUAUUUUAAACAGUGAAGUUCAUAUCUCUUUUUACCAUUUAGCCAGUUUUGUUUUGGGGGAGUUCUUUACUUCAGUUAGAUCUUGUAUCUCUUUUAUAGUCUGGUCUAGUUUAUUUUUUUAAAGGAAUUCUUUCCUUCAAUAUUUUUGUACCUUUUUACUAAAUUGUUAAUUUCUAUUUCAUGGUUUUCUUGGAAAUCACUCAUUUCUUUCCCCAAUGGUUCCUCCAUCACUCUUAUUUGAUUUUAGAAUGAUUUUAUUUAUUUACUUAUUUAAAAAUCUAUAAAGUUUGUUUAUAUAACUUAUUUAAUAUUGUCAGGUUCUUUCUUCUUGUUUGUUCAUUUUCUCAGCCUCAGUUCAAUUUCUCAGCUUGACUGAAUUUUAUGUUAAAGGUGGUCUCUGUUCACCUGAGAGUAUAGCAAGGUACUGGACCAAACAGACAUUUUUUAUGCUUCUCUUUUCAGAGCUAAUUCAGAGAUGGGGAGAGGUUGGAAGUUUUAGAUGCUUCCAGAGUGGUGUUAUUCUGGGUGAACUUUGGUCACUUCUCUCCUGGUCUGCGUUACUUGGCAAGAAUCCUUGAUCCCUUGCAGUUACAAGCACUAUUUCUUAAUAAGGCUCCUCAGAGCCCCUGCUCCCUUGUGACUGAAAGUGCUCCUCUUUGCCCUAGGACUUUGACCUGGAAGCAGGUAUGGACAAUGGAGUUGCCAAAUAGUGCCCAAUCCUAUGCCCAGUGCUAGUCCAGGGGUCCUCUGUAACCUCUUUCUGAUCAGUUGUCCAAUACCCCAGUAGUCUUUGAUCCAAGAGCUUCCAAAGCUUCCAAUGCUGUGGCUCUCACCAUCUCCAAGAGUCAUAGCUAGAGUUGCUACCAUAUGCACUCUGGACCAGUCCCCAUCUCAAAGUCAGAAACCUCUCUUUCCAACCUUCUGCAUUGUUUUAGGCAGGAAUAUAUUUCACCCUGACCUUUUGUCGGCUCUGCUGCUCUAGGAUUCAGUUUGAGACAUUAUUUUAACAUUGCAUAGAGGAGAACGUUGGGAGAACUUGGUUUUAGAGCUUCCUCUUCUCUGCCAUCGUGGCUCUGCCUCCUUGGGGCAAGUUUUAUACACCUUCACGGUAAAAGCACAACUCUCAGAAAAUAGGAUGGCCCUAACCUCAUUCAGGGGGCUUCAUGAUAUCAUUCAUGGGAACAUAUGUCACCAUAAGGGUGAUGUCAGAGGGAGCAUGACUUGUUAGAAGUGCUGCUAAGAAUUUUACAUAAUAGUGUGGGAGAGAACCAUUAGGGAUUUUAAAUGGAGAGAAUGGAAUAAGCAGCUGGGUAUGGCCUCAGUUUUCUCAGUAAAAUAUAAGGCUGAGAGAGAGGAGAGAGGGCAGGGGAAGUAUAAGAGAUAUAGGGAAGAGAAGGCUUAGAAUUGCUUCUGUGGGGUGAGAUAGGGAAUCAAUCAUUAAAGAAUAAAAGAACUAUUUUGCUGCAGUGAGAGUCCAGUUUUUAAUUUGGAAAACAUGAAUUUGUAAUGAACCAGAUUAGUUUUAUUGACAGGUUAUUGACACUUCCCCCAACUCUUACACAGCAGUGUCCAAGUAGAAGAGUAAACAAAUGGUGGGAGUCUAGGGCUGAGGUUUGGCAAAAGCAAUAAAGAUAAUUAAGGUGAGGGGAUUUAAGAAGAGAAAACAAGGAAGGAUUGAAAUGAAAUUGGCUCCAGAUUGGAAAUGGAGGAAAGGCCAACACAGGGACAAUGAAUAGAUUGAGAAAAUACUGUGGGCUGGAAAAACUGGUGAUCUGGAUGAGGGUGACAAACAGGUUUAGGAGGGGGAAUGUAAGGGGUUAUGGUCAGAUAAAAGAGUAUCAGAAUUUCUUAUUAAGGAAGUGGAAUAUGUAUGAGUAAUGGUGAGAUACAGGGUGUGACUAAGGUAUAUUGAAGGAAUAGGUCAUGAGAUUCAAGAAAACAGAGGAAUUGGGAGUUUAAGGAGUUUGAGGAAGCAGCAAUGUGAAUAUUGAAGUCUCCUGGAAUAAGAGUAGGAGUUGUGGAAAAGAGGAACACAGUAAACCAACUGCUAGCCUUGAAAAAAUAGGGAGGAUGUCUUGGGGGUUUAGUGUUCUAUAACCACAACUUAAAUUAGGUGAAAAUUUCUUUCAAGUCGAGAUGGAAGUAAAGGAUGAGUCUGGAAGUGGCAGUGAGGAGGAGAGUGUUCUGGCUCUCUUUUGGGGACUAGUGGGUAUAAAUAUGUGGGCAAGGUUAGGGGUUUGGGAAUGGGAGAAAUGAAAGUAUAGCCAUUGCUGUAGUGUAAGAAUGCCUAGGGGCACAGUCAUUUGGGGGAAGUCAGGUCCCAGUGAGAGCUAAUAGAUAGAAGGAAGGCGAGAAACAGUAGCAGGACAAAGAAAAGUCCUUCAGUGUUAAUAGCCUUCAUAAAUAGAUUGUGACUCCACCAGAUGCUAAGACCUCCAGUAAUAGCCCAGACACUCUCCUUCCUCUAUUGCAGAUUGAGUGCCAAGUAGGAUUGUGACAUGAUAAUCUUUUGGAAGUGGACAGCCCUAUAAGGACCUAUAAGGUCCUAUAAGGACCUAGCUCUUGAUUUCCCAGAUAAUUACAUACUCUAUGAGAUAUAUGUGCUAUUGGACUUUAGCAUGUAUUAUUAAAUAGAUAUUAUUAAAUUAAUAGAUACUGAAGUCCAGUAAUUUAAUAGUGAGAGGAUACCCUUGAACGAUGAAGGUUCUGGUAGGUCCUUGCUGAGUUCUGGGAUGCAGAUAUGGGAUAGAUAUGCAGAUAAUAUUUUCAUUUACCCUGAGGGACAGAAUUGACACUGAUUGUUGGGAAGUGGUCACUUAUUUGCCUAAGUGGUUUGUGCCUUGUAGAAGAAUAGGAAUGGAUAAUUAAACUUUCCUCUUUGGUGUUAGUACCAAUGGAGGAAUUUUGCCGAUGCCUCCUUCUGUACCAAGUCCUUUGUGAGAUGUAUCAGCACCCACCAGAUAUAUCAUAUAUUCUCUGUUGAGUUGAACAAACCAGGUCAUUCAUGUUUAUGAGAGUGGCAGAGUUUGGGCAGUCAAUUUGAAAUGAGGACAUAAUAUCAUGUAAUGGUGGAAUCAGGGCUGUCCACUUCCAAAAGAUUAUCAUGUCACAUUUCUCCUUGGCACCCAAUCUGCCUUAAACUGGCAAAUGGACUCCAUUGGCCCAUUCUCCUUAUCUCAGGGCAUGAGGCUUGCCUUUACUGGAGUCGGUACUUAACACUGGAUCUGGCUUUGUUGGGCCAUUCAAGACUUUCAGCACCACUGAGCCCAACAUGAAAUCUCUCUGAGAAGGCAUCCUUCCUUUUGGGCUGCCCUGCACCAGAGAUUUUAACUAGGGCAUCCAUUCCACUGUGAAGGAGCACUGAAAUUGUAUAUUCUGACAUCAUUUGAGUUUUCCACCUCCUGUACUCUCCUUGGGCAGGUGGCAAUACUGCUCUUGAAAUAACAGCUUUGUUGUCAUGCCUAAUUAUUGAGCUUGUGUCCCAUUUGCUAGAAGCUGUCUUCAAUACAUCAACACUACCUUCAGAAAGGGAACUCUCCAGUUCUGAGGUUUUCUAGAUCCAGUCUCCAAGAAACUAUCCAGUCUGGAUGGUUUUUUUUCCUUUUCCUCUGAAUGGAAUCAUCUGGAUCUUGAGGUCAAUCUCUCCCUAACCCACCCCCUCACUCCAGCUCAGAUCCUCUCAGCUGGUGGCUCUUUCCCAGGGAAUGGUUCAUACAACUAACUCCUAGAAAGGACCUGUGGGACCCUGGGAUAUUUUUUUGGAAAUAUUUUCUUACUACAUAGGAAAUAUUAAAUUGUUUCUCCCUGACUAUGGUAAAUGCGAAUUUGCCUAGAAUAAAGCAGUUUCCUUAAUUGACUUGGUGGCCAUCCUGAAUUCCUGGAUGAAGGUGGAGAAUCCUUAUGGUUCAGGCCCUGCAGAAGGAGGAGCAUCCCUCAUUUGAGGCCUCUUCUUCCCCUUCCUCAGGAGGGUCCCAAGGAGAGGGAGCUUCUAGCUGUUAGGUAAGAGAAUAAAUAAGUGGCAGUAUGAAGCAAGGUUUCAUAUCUACUCAGGGUACAUGCAAAAGACUUAGGACCCACUCACCACAGCGGCGUUUUCAAACCUUUUCAUCCCUCCUAAAAAGUACCAUGGCUUCCCCUCCCUCACCUUCUUAGUGGACAACCUUUCCUAAAAAUUUCCUGGAAAAAAAAAGAGGCCAUUCAAAGUCUUCAUCUUACAUUUUACAGAUGCUUUCCCCUACAAUCUCCUCCUUCACUUCUAUCUUAUAUGAAGAGAUGGUCCUUCCUAGGCUAAUUCCUCUACGUGUACAAAUAAUUCUAUUCCAUCUUAUCUUCUCUACUUGAACACUCUUUUUCUUAAUCUCUCCCUGUCUACUCACUCCCAGCAAGUCCAAGACUCCUUUGACUCCCCCAUCCUCAAAAAAAUCUUCACCUUGUUUAUCCUCUAUCUUUUUUGGCCUUUGUGGUUAAAAUUUAAAAAAAAUUUAAUGCUCUCUAUGAUAGGAACUUCUAAUUUCUCUCCUCUCACUUUUCUUAAAUUCCAAUUCUAGUUUCUGACCUCAUUCCUCUGAAACUGCUCUCUCCAAAGUUCCCAGCUAUUUUUUUAACUGCCAAAUCCAAAGUUCUUUUCUUAGUCCUCAUUCUCCUUGACCCCUUGGCAGCCGUGGCCACUGUGGUCUCUCUUCCCUCCUUGAUACUCUCUUCUGCCUAGAUUUUGGAAUGCCUUCUGGGUCUCCUACCUAUCAGUCUGCUCCUUCUUUAUCUCCUUUGCUGGAUCCUCCUCCAGAGCAUUCUCUCUAAUCUAAGGUGCCCCUGAGGGUUUUGUCCCAGGUCUUUUCCUCUACUUGGCUUCCUUUCUUGAUCUUAUCAGUUGUUGAGGAUUUAGCUACUAUCUUUAUGCUGAUGAUUCUCAAACCCAUUUAUCCAGCCCCAAGCUCUCUAAUCUCACAUCUCCAGGCACCUUUCAGACACCUCAGCCUGGAGGUUCAGUAGACAUCAGUCUUCACCUCAACAGGUCCCAAACUGAACUGAUUAUCUUUCCCCUACAGUUUCCCCCUCUCUACUUUGUUACUGUAGAGGCCAACAACAUCCUUCUUGUCCUUCACACUCACAACCUAGGUGUCAUCCUGGAUUCCUCCCCAUCUCUUGCCCCCAUAUCCAAUCUGUUGCCAAUGCUUGUUGAUGUCCCCUUUGCCAUCUCUCUCAAAUAUAUUUCCUUCUAUCCUCUGGAGCAGGACCUCAUCACUUCAUUUGUGGACUGGAACAGUCCGGUGGUUCUGCCUUCCUAGGAUCUCUGUCUGUUCCAAUCCAUCCUCCAUGCAACCACCAAAAUGAUUUUCCUAAAAUAUCCAUCUAAGUCACUCAGUAAACUCCACAGGUUCUUUAUUGCCUCCAGGAUCAAAUCCAAAAUCCUCUUUCUAGCAUAUGAUUUGGUAUUCAAUCCCUUCAUACUCUACCUCCCUCUUCCCUUUCCAUUCAUCUUACACCUCUCUGCCAGGUACAGGGGGUGACACUGGACACUCCAUCUGGUCUGCAGGCAUUUUCUCUGGCUUUCCCCCACAUCUGGGAUGCUCGAUGUUCUCUCUUCCUUGAAGUCCACAAUAAAAUCUCAAAAUUUCAUCUUUUAGAAGGAAGGCUAUCCCAACCCUUCUUAAUUCUAGUGUCUUCCCUCUGUUUUCAUCAUUUCCUUUUUUACCAUAUAUAUAUAUGUAUAUAUAUAUAUAUGUAUGUAUAUUUAAAUUUAAAGACAUUUUCAGAGAUAGCUAUACACAUAUUUUGUUUGUAUAUAUUUAUUUGCUUUUCCCUUUCAUCAGUUAAACUUCAGUGCUUGGCUUACAAAAGGGGUUUAAUAGAUGUUUAUUGACUGAUGACUCUCACAAAUCUUUAAUUUUCUGGCUACUUCUCUACUACCCACAAAAAAAAAAAUCUCACUUGAUUAAAAAAAAAGCCUGAGAUCAGUCAACAAACACCCCAUCUUUCUCCUACUCCCCUUCUUCAACGGAUCAUUACAUCAUUUCCUUUUUUCUCUUUAUCAGGAGAAAGCUCCUCUUCCAAUGCUGCCUCUUUUUGCAUCCCCCAAACCAGGCUUUUCUAGAAAUGACUCUCAGGGAUGCGGCGUCUAUUAAAAGCAAGCUCCUUGUUCUGUGGGCUUAACUUGUUUUUCCCCUUCAAAGAAAGGGGGAACCUGGCCCACGUGACGAAGGUUCAAGCCAUUGGCACAACUUCCUGUUCGCACAGGGCAUUAAAAGGACAGCCGAAGAAGAGUUAAUUCUCCUCUCAGACUUGACCCACUGCCAAAUGAGUCAACACAUCCUUCCGAUAAGAUUCACUUCCAUUUAGAGGCAGGCUUGUGCUCACUAUUUGGAUAGACUCGGCCACACGACAACUCUGACAUUCACUAGCAGAAAAAUGAUCUGCUUGACCAGCGCGGCUGAGGAAAAGAACACUUGAACCCUUGGGACACACCACCCCAGAAAUAAACCUGGUGGGGACUCCCAGGAGGGACCCUCAGAGCUGGGGAUGUUUUCUAGUUGGCCACUUUGAAAGGGGAGGGAGAGAACAUGAAUCCUAUAAUCAUGGAAAAAUACUUAAUGUAUAUGUAUAUGUAUAUAUGUAGUUAGCCACUUUGACUCUCUUGGGAACAACUCAAUAUGUAAAGUACAGAAGGAACAACUGUGUGGAUCUAGAACAGACUUUGCUACACCUUCACGGUACCAAAAAAUUCAAAGCAUAAUAUGGCCCUAAUGUGAUCUGAUGGAGUCCAGUAAGCAGAACCGGGAAGAUAAAUGCAUGCAAUGCUUCAGAAGCCGAUCCGCUAUAAUUAUGACCAAACCUCCCUCCCUGCGCUGCAGCUUGGUGGACGCUACGGUAUACCACGUUGGCUUUUAAACAUGAUAAAACUGGCUUCUUUAAGGCAUUUGUCAGCCGUAGAACAAGUCUGUAACGAUGCUAAAUGAACGGUGCAUGCUUUAAAGGGGCAGUUAGGAACAUCCUGCCCAACAGCAUUUACCUCAAACGUGUGCGUUAGGGCUACAGAACAUAACCCAAGUAAUUUGCACUUGGGGUGGUCCCUUCGAUUUCUCCUCCGCUACAAGGGAUGAAAAGCAGCGAGGUGCAGAGCAGACGCAGUCAGGAAGACUCGCCUUCUAGAGUUUGGCUCUUUCCUCAGACAUGUCGGAGCUGGUGAGCCCUGGGCUGAUUACAGAACCCUAGACAGAAAGUCUCAGCUCGUCUGUAAAAAGUGAUGGAAAAGGAAAUGGCAAGUCCUGCCAGGAUCUUGGCCAAGAAAAUCCCCAAAGGGGGUCCUUGAGAGUCAGACACAACUUAAUGACUGGACAAAAUGGGGAGGGGAAGGAAGAAUGUAUCUGGGAAGCACUAUUUUAAAGAAACAUCCAUAAAACCUAAAUUAAAAAAAAAAAAGACACCUCCUGACCACGUUAGGAACCUCCUAUCCCUAACAAUUAUAUCCUGAUAAAUGCACUUCCGCUAAAACAAAACAUUUACAGAUUAAGCACAUAUUUAUUUUAGUUUAUUUAAAACAUACAAUGUUUCAUUGAAACGGUGAAGCACUCUUUGCCAACAAACCAUACCUGAAUUUGUUGGACCUUACAGUACAGUGAGUAUAUACACUAUGUACAGAUUUUUAACACCUGUGUAGGAAGGCCUUUUUCAACAGAUCACAUUUGUAACCAUUGCAUUUUAAAAAAUAAAACCUCUAUGAGACAAAAAUGAAUCUGCUCUACUUUGAUUUCUUAGUUUUGGAUUUAAAAGAGGCUUGUUUAUUGCAAAUACAAUUUAAAUUUUAGUAUGUGUUCUUACACAGCUUGGUAGCUCAUUUCUU